CCGCAGGGGCUGAUGGGAGGUCGUAGGAGCUGUUAGAAAGCAGGCGGCCUCGGUCUGAUGUCACAGCUCGUCCUGGUUUGUCCUCAGCUGCAGCAGACGCCGCUUCGGCUCAGGUUCACCAGAGGAAACGCCACAAAAUGCUUCUGCUGCCGCCGGCUGCUCUGUGCUGUCUGUGUUCAGCACUGGUCGCCACGGCAACACAGCUGAUUCAGGAGGAUGUAACACUGACCAGGAGAGUCGGUCAAGAAGUCUCCUUCAGCUGUGGAGUAACUGAGGAGUGUACCACAUAUAUUUACUGGUACCAGAAGAAAGACACAGAAACAUUUAAACAGAUUCUGCGUAUUCGAAUGAGCGAUGGUGACUUAUAUAAAAGUUACAAUCAUCCUCAGGAAGAUGAUUUCUCAUCUGUAAAUAAAGGUAAAGGUUUUGAGCUGCAGAUCCAGACAGUUAAACCCUCUCAUUCAGCCUCGUACUACUGCUCCUGUUGGAAGUCAUCAACCACAGUGAGAAAAGACGCCUGAAGUCUGUACAAAAACCUCCAGAUGAAGAAACAUCAACCAGCGUUAGUGACAGGAACAGAACAGGAAACCACGGCAACCAUCCCAUGGUUAACCUCCAUCUAACUGACAAAUCAAAUCAAACUAACUGAUCUGAGGACAAUUUGAAUCCCAUAGAUUUAAUAUUAUGAAGCAGAUUUGACACAUUUUAACAAGUUUAAUGUUGGAAAAAACUGACCUUAAAAGUCAGACUCAAAAGGACAAACAGGAUAAACCUGAAGAGUCAUGGACACGGACCAAUGUUGGACUCAGAUCCAGUCCACAUGGACUAAAGGACUGAGGACCUGAACCACAUUCAUCCACAGAGUCAAGCUGAUGCAGAAAAGACAAAGACAAAACCGUCCUGUUGACGUGGACAUGAGACAAACACAUCAUGGAUCUGGAACCUGAUCCUGAUCAUCAUCUGGACACGUUUAGUC